rfam:Xenorhabdus beddingii strain DSM 4764 Xbed_32, whole genome shotgun sequence.
UAUCCGGGACGGCCCGGAUAAACGUCAUCUCAUUGGGGACGACCCCA